UGUAAGCGUAUACCAAAGUUGUUGCAGUUAAAACGCUCGUAGUCGGAAUUUGGCAGUUCCGGAUGUGUGCACGUCGUGUGCGCACUUCGCGGGGAUUGCUUUUGUGGUCUUGCGUAGGAUGAGGCACUUUUAUUAGUGAACGUCCUCACGCAACCACUUUUUACUGUGAGAAAAUCAGAGUGCUCAAAGCAGGCAUUUGCCGUGAAUGUAUCAGCAUGGAAUAAUAGAAUAGGACUUGGUUCUAUUUUGUUGGUUUGUUGGGACUGAGUAAUGAUUAAGAGGGACAGUUGGGGGCAUUUGUAUUUCGGCGCUAGAGGUGAAAUUCUUAGAUUGCCGAAAGACAAACUGCUGCGAAAGCGUCUGCCAAGGAUGUUUUCAUUGA
rnacentral:rRNA from 1 species